CAUUCUCAUUAGACAUAACCUGCUUUCCUUUUCUCUUCUUGUUUCCCCAUAAUCACUCACACAUUCUUAUAGUAGGAAGAUGAAAAAGUUAGUCCAAUCCAUUUCAACCUACUUAAAUAAAUGUGUUGUGUUAGGUGCUAUUUUGUAGGUAGAGCUGCAGCCAACUGACAACUGUGUAUUAAAUAUGGUCUUACAAACUCGUUGCUUUAAAUCAUAUAGAUAAAUGUAGCCUUCAAGUUUAAGAACAAGAGAAAAUCUCGGAAAGGAAAAAUGAAACAAGCACCGGAACAUCAAAACAUGCCGUAUUCAGAUCACAUCCAAAAACGUCGUCAAGAAAAGGGAUGCCUCUAUGCUUGGUUGUUCGAAUUUUGUUGCUGUUGUUGCUGUGCCGAGGCUUGUGAAUGCUGCUGUUUGGACAGUGCUUCUUGUUGCUGCAUUUAAACUUUAAGGGGUUUCAUAAUGUCAAAGCCUGAAAUAAUUUUUACAUAUCCCUUUUGUUAGUUUAGUUCCAAAAUAUUGAAUGAAUUGCAGUACAUCUGUAUCUAUUUUGAAUAAAGAUGUAACUUUUUAUUGAAUU